UUAAGCGACUAAGCGUACACGGUGGAUGCCCUGGCAGUCAGAGGCGAUGAAGGACGUGCUAAUCUGCGAAAAGCGUCGGUAAGGUGAUAUGAACCGUUAUAACCGGCGAUGUCCGAAUGGGGAAACCCAGUGUGAUUCGUCACACUAUCGUUAACUGAAUACAUAGGUUAACGAGGCGAACCGGGGGAACUGAAACAUCUAAGUACCCCGAGGAAAAGAAAUCAACCGAGAUUCCCCCAGUAGCGGCGAGCGAACGGGGAGCAGCCCAGAGUCUGAAUCAGCUUGUGUGUUAGUGGAACGGUCUGGAAAGUCCGACGGUACAGGGUGAUAGUCCCGUACACCAAAAUGCACAGGUUGUGAACUCGAAGAGUAGGGCGGGACACGUGGUAUCCUGUCUGAAUAUGGGGGGACCAUCCUCCAAGGCUAAAUACUCCUGACUGACCGAUAGUGAACCAGUACCGUGAGGGAAAGGCGAAAAGAACCCCGGCGAGGGGAGUGAAAAAGAACCUGAAACCGUGUACGUACAAGCAGUGGGAGCACCUUCGGGUGUGACUGCGUACCUUUUGUAUAAUGGGUCAGCGACUUAUAUUCUGUAGCAAGGUUAACCGUAUAGGGGAGCCGCAGGGAAACCGAGUCUUAACUGGGCGUUAAGUUGCAGGGUAUAGACCCGAAACCCGGUGAUCUAGCCAUGGGCAGGUUGAAGGUUGGGUAACACUAACUGGAGGACCGAACCGACUAAUGUUGAAAAAUUAGCGGAUGACUUGUGGCUGGGGGUGAAAGGCCAAUCAAACCGGGAGAUAGCUGGUUCUCCCCGAAAGCUAUUUAGGUAGCGCCUCGUGAACUCAUCUUCGGGGGUAGAGCACUGUUUCGGCUAGGGGGUCAUCCCGACUUACCAACCCGAUGCAAACUACGAAUACCGAAGAAUGUUAUCACGGGAGACACACGGCGGGUGCUAACGUCCGUCGUGAAGAGGGAAACAACCCAGACCGCCAGCUAAGGUCCCAAAGUCAUGGUUAAGUGGGAAACGAUGUGGGAAGGCACAGACAGCCAGGAUGUUGGCUUAGAAGCAGCCAUCAUUUAAAGAAAGCGUAAUAGCUCACUGGUCGAGUCGGCCUGCGCGGAAGAUGUAACGGGGCUAAACCAUGCACCGAAGCUGCGGCAGCGACGCUUAUGCGUUGUUGGGUAGGGGAGCGUUCUGUAAGCCUGCGAAGGUGACCUGUGAGGGUUGCUGGAGGUAUCAGAAGUGCGAAUGCUGACAUAAGUAACGAUAAAGCGGGUGAAAAGCCCGCUCGCCGGAAGACCAAGGGUUCCUGUCCAACGUUAAUCGGGGCAGGGUGAGUCGACCCCUAAGGCGAGGCCGAAAGGCGUAGUCGAUGGGAAACAGGUUAAUAUUCCUGUACUUGGUGUUACUGCGAAGGGGGGACGGAGAAGGCUAUGUUAGCCGGGCGACGGUUGUCCCGGUUUAAGCAUGUAGGCGGAGGUUCCAGGUAAAUCCGGUACCUUUUAACGCUGAGGUGUGAUGACGAGGCACUACGGUGCUGAAGUAACAAAUGCCCUGCUUCCAGGAAAAGCCUCUAAGCAUCAGGUAACAUCAAAUCGUACCCCAAACCGACACAGGUGGUCAGGUAGAGAAUACCAAGGCGCUUGAGAGAACUCGGGUGAAGGAACUAGGCAAAAUGGUGCCGUAACUUCGGGAGAAGGCACGCUGGUGUGUAGGUGAAGUCCCUGCGGAUGGAGCUGAGACCAGUCGAAGAUACCAGCUGGCUGCAACUGUUUAUUAAAAACACAGCACUGUGCAAACACGAAAGUGGACGUAUACGGUGUGACGCCUGCCCGGUGCCGGAAGGUUAAUUGAUGGGGUUAUCCGUAAGGAGAAGCUCUUGAUCGAAGCCCCGGUAAACGGCGGCCGUAACUAUAACGGUCCUAAGGUAGCGAAAUUCCUUGUCGGGUAAGUUCCGACCUGCACGAAUGGCGUAAUGAUGGCCAGGCUGUCUCCACCCGAGACUCAGUGAAAUUGAACUCGCUGUGAAGAUGCAGUGUACCCGCGGCAAGACGGAAAGACCCCGUGAACCUUUACUAUAGCUUGACACUGAACAUUGAGCCUUGAUGUGUAGGAUAGGUGGGAGGCUUUGAAGCGUGGACGCCAGUCUGCGUGGAGCCAACCUUGAAAUACCACCCUUUAAUGUUUGAUGUUCUAACGUUGGCCCGUAAUCCGGGUUGCGGACAGUGUCUGGUGGGUAGUUUGACUGGGGCGGUCUCCUCCCAAAGAGUAACGGAGGAGCACGAAGGUUAGCUAAUCCUGGUCGGACAUCAGGAGGUUAGUGCAAUGGCAUAAGCUAGCUUGACUGCGAGCGUGACGGCGCGAGCAGGUGCGAAAGCAGGUCAUAGUGAUCCGGUGGUUCUGAAUGGAAGGGCCAUCGCUCAACGGAUAAAAGGUACUCCGGGGAUAACAGGCUGAUACCGCCCAAGAGUUCAUAUCGACGGCGGUGUUUGGCACCUCGAUGUCGGCUCAUCACAUCCUGGGGCUGAAGUAGGUCCCAAGGGUAUGGCUGUUCGCCAUUUAAAGUGGUACGCGAGCUGGGUUUAGAACGUCGUGAGACAGUUCGGUCCCUAUCUGCCGUGGGCGCUGGAGAAUUGAGGGGGGCUGCUCCUAGUACGAGAGGACCGGAGUGGACGCAUCACUGGUGUUCGGGUUGUCAUGCCAAUGGCACUGCCCGGUAGCUAAAUGCGGAAGAGAUAAGUGCUGAAAGCAUCUAAGCACGAAACUUGCCCCGAGAUGAGUUCUCCCUGAGACUUUAAGUCUCCUGAAGGAACGUUGAAGACGACGACGUUGAUAGGCCGGGUGUGUAAGCGCAGCGAUGCGUUGAGCUAACCGGUACUAAUGAACCGUGAGGCUUAACCUU
rnacentral:rRNA from 1 species